GGGUGCUAUCAUACCAGCACUAAUGCACCGGAUCUCAUCAGAACUCGUAAUUAAGCGUGCUUAAGCGAGAGUAGUACUAGGAUGGGUGACUUCUUGGGAAGUACUCGUGUUGCACCCC
rnacentral:rRNA from 1 species